GGGACUCCAUCCAGGCGGGAUCCGCAGCGCUAGGUGAGGCGAGAAGGAGGCGAUCAGCAGGCGGGGUGCAUGCUGCAGAGGGCAGGGGUCCACUCAGACCAGGGGCUCAGCGCCUGCCUAGCGUCACUCCUCAGGGAACCCGUAGUAGCCAACAAGCUUGGAGCUGCCGGAGUUUCCAAAGACCUCUGGAUCCUGUAGUCCUCUUGCACGCCAGCCACCGAAGAGCGCUGCUCAGCCGGCUCCCGGUUCCAAGACUUCAACUGCUAGGAAGAAAUCCUCUGGGAAACAGAUAAGAAGGAAGUAUUUUAUCAGCAUAAAAGAUCAGAGUCGUGGCAGCAGCCCAAAGGAAAUCCUUUUUCUUUCCAACGUCUGGAUUGUGAGGAAAGUCAAAAAUAUCAUUUCCCCCGUACCCCUCCUUUUACCUGAAUUUCCUAAGAAAACAAAGGAAGGCCUUUUUUUUCUUUUGGACGUUUGAUGGCGAAGUUGCACUGCGUUGAGCAAAGGGACAGAGGAGAGUUUCAAUUUGAUGUUUAUAUUCAGAAGAUAAACAUUGACCUUUCUCCAGAUUUAAAAAUGACUGAGUAAUUAGUAAUACUAGUUGUGGGGUUCCAUGAUCUGACCAGGAGCGAGGUGUUCCACAGAAGUGAGCUUUU